UAGAAAAGACCUGCUGUUUAAAUGAACAUAUCUCACAUCGAGGAGAACAGGCUGGAGGGCUGGAUGAGCAUCUCUGAUAGCUGAUCUUAGGGUCUAAUUAGACUUCUUCAGGGGGCAGUGAUGAAGAGUAGCCUUCCUGCUCAAACUGCGAGUACUGUGGGCAGGCGUGAAGGGAGGGAGGCAAGCAAGCCAGGAGCAGAGACAAAGUAUGCUGCAAAUUGCCUGCUCAUCUGUGUCCUUCACUGCCUGGAUUACUUCAUGAUGUUUACAUAGCAAAACAAACUAUAUAACAUCCCAGGGGCCCAAUGCUGCUGCCACAGAAUACCGGCACUUGUCACUUCCUUAGUCUGUGAAAAGGAAUCAAACCUACAUUGCAAAUGUCAUGCUUCAACCAGCACAUACAGCAGCGCAGAUGACCUUCAAGCAUGA